rnacentral:rRNA from 1 species
UACAGAGGUCUCGAGCGUUAGGCGGAAUCACUGGGCUUAAAGCGUGUGUAGGUGGAUCGGUAAGUACCUUGUGAAAUCCCACAGCUUAACUGUGGAACUGCUUGGUAUACUGCCAGUCUUGAGCCACUUAGGGGCUACCGGAACAAAUGGUGGAGCGGUGAAAUGCGUAGAUAUCAUUUGGAACGCCAAUGGUGAAAACAGGUAGCUGGGAGUGUGCUGACACUGAGACACGAAAGCCAGGGGAGCAAACGGG